rnacentral:rRNA from 1 species
GCUUGCUGUUUCUGCUGACGAGUGGCGGACGGGUGAGUAAUGUCUGGGAAACUGCCUGAUGGAGGGGGAUAACUACUGGAAACGGUAGCUAAUACCGCAUAACGUCGCAAGACCAAAGAGGGGGACCUUCGGGCCUCUUGCCAUCGGAUGUGCCCAGAUGGGAUUAGCUAGUAGGUGGGGUAAAGGCUCACCUAGGCGACGAUCCCUAGCUGGUCUGAGAGGAUGACCAGCCACACUGGAACUGAGACACGGUCCAGACUCCUACGGGAGGCAGCAGUGGGGAAUAUUGCACAAUGGGCGCAAGCCUGAUGCAGCCAUGCCGCGUGUAUGAAGAAGGCCUUCGGGUUGUAAAGUACUUUCAGCGGGGAGGAAGGGAGUAAAGUUAAUACCUUUGCUCAUUGACGUUACCCGCAGAAGAAGCACCGGCUAACUCCGUGCCAGCAGCCGCGGUAAUACGGAGGGUGCAAGCGUUAAUCGGAAUUACUGGGCGUAAAGCGCACGCAGGCGGUUUGUUAAGUCAGAUGUGAAAUCCCCGGGCUCAACCUGGGAACUGCAUCUGAUACUGGCAAGCUUGAGUCUCGUAGAGGGGGGUAGAAUUCCAGGUGUAGCGGUGAAAUGCGUAGAGAUCUGGAGGAAUACCGGUGGCGAAG